UGAUCCUGGCUCAGGAUGAACGCUGGCGGCGUGCCUAACACAUGCAAGUCGAACGAAGCUUGACGGAUGAUUUCUUCGGAAUGAAACCAGAUAUGACUUAGUGGCGGACGGGUGAGUAACACGUGAGCAACCUGCCUUUCAGAGGGGGAUAACGGCUGGAAACGGUCGCUAAUACCGCAUGAUGUGUUCGGAUGGCAUCAUCUGAACAUCAAAGAUUUAUCGCUGAAAGAUGGGCUCGCGUCUGAUUAGAUAGUUGGUGGGGUAACGGCCUACCAAGUCUGCGAUCAGUAGCCGGACUGAGAGGUUGAACGGCCACAUUGGGACUGAGAUACGGCCCAGACUCCUACGGGAGGCAGCAGUGGGGAAUAUUGCACAAUGGGGGAAACCCUGAUGCAGCAACGCCGCGUGAAGGAUGACGGUUUUCGGAUUGUAAACUUCUUUUCUUAGUGACGAAGACAGUGACGGUAGCUAAGGAAUAAGCAUCGGCUAACUACGUGCCAGCAGCCGCGGUAAUACGUAGGAUGCAAGCGUUAUCCGGAUUUACUGGGUGUAAAGGGAGCGCAGGCGGGACUGCAAGUUGGAUGUGAAAUACCGUGGCUUAACCACGGAACUGCAUCCAAAACUGUAGUUCUUGAGUGAAGUAGAGGCAAGCGGAAUUCCGAGUGUAGCGGUGAAAUGCGUAGAUAUUCGGAGGAACACCAGUGGCGAAGGCGGCUUGCUGGGCUUUAACUGACGCUGAGGCUCGAAAGUGUGGGGAGCAAACAGGAUUAGAUACCCUGGUAGUCCACACUGUAAACGAUGAUAGCUAGGUGUGGGGGGUCUGACCCCUUCCGUGCCGGAGUUAACGCAAUAAGCUAUCCACCUGGGGAGUACGACCGCAAGGUUGAAACUCAAAGGAAUUGACGGGGGCC
rnacentral:rRNA from 1 species